rnacentral:misc_RNA from 1 species
UCCGAGUUGUCCCCGGCAGUCUCCUUAGAGUCCCCGACUUUACUCGCUGGCAACUAAUGGCAGGGGUUGCGCUCGUUGCGGCACUUAAGCCAACACCUCACGGCACGAGCUGACGACAGCCAUGCAGCACCUGUGUUCCGAUUCCCUUUCGGGCACACCCGCCUUUCAGCAGGCUCUCGGACAUGUCAAGGGUAGGUAAGGUUUUUCGCGUUGCAUCGAAUUAAUCCACAUAAUCCACCGCUUGUGCGGGUCCCCGUCAAUUCCUUUGAGUUUUAACCUUGCGGCCGUACUCCCCAGGCGGGGCACUUACUGCGUUAGCGACGGCACCGGGAGGGUCGCUCCCCCCGACGCCUAGUGCCCAUCGUUUACGGCGUGGACUAC